UACGUAGGGUGCAAGCGUGUCCGGAAUUAUUGGGCGUAAAGAGCUCGUAGGCGGUUUGUCGCGUCUGCUGUGAAAACCCGAGGCUCAACCUCGGGCCGCAGUGGGGUACGGGCAGACUAGAGUGCGGUAGGGGAGAUUGGAAUCCUGGUGUAGCGGUGGAAUGCGCAGAUAUCAGGAGGAACACCAAUGGCGAAGGCAGAUCUCUGGGCCGUAACUGACGCUGAGGAGCGAAAGCAUGGGGAGCGAACAGG
rnacentral:rRNA from 1 species